rfam:Ferrimonas marina strain DSM 16917 genome assembly, contig: EK02DRAFT_scaffold00011.11
AAGCGGGAAGCGAGCCUCAAGAUGAGUUCUCACUUGGACUUUAAGUCCACUGAAGGGCCGUGGAAGACUACCACGUUGAUAGGCAGGGUGUGUAAGCGUUGUGAGGCGUUGAGCUAACCUGUACUAAUGACCCGUGAGGCUUAACCAU